UUUGUUGCCGGCGGCCUGGGCCGCCGCCUGCUGCUGCUGCUGCUGCUGCUGCUUGAGGGACAUGGCGAAGGGGCCGGGCCGGGUGCGCGCCGGGGCCUGCUGCGCUCGCUCGCUCGCUGCUCCGGAGCCGCCGCUGUCUCGGCCGGUUGCUCCCAAACAGUGCCUGAAUAAUGAUGUGGUGACACAUUAUUGGCUGGGUGACAGUAGAUGCCAACUGAAGUGGACACAGAAGAAAGAAUUCUUUAUAUUUAAUUGGAAAUGCUUGCACUGUGAGGAGCCAGAAAUGUAAAGCUCUCUUUUUUCUCCCCUUUUUAGUAAAUUUUGUGGCCAACUAGUGAUUUCAUAACCACAGGAAUUGAAAGCCAUGGACAUCAAGUAUUCAUGCAGUUCGUGGAAGAGACUUCUGUGUGCACAGAGUUGGAGACCGCUAAAGUUACCCCUGGCACAGGUUUCAAUGAUAUUUGCAGGAAAAUUAGUCUUAUGCCAAAAUGCUGUAACCCACCUGGUGCCUGCUGCUAGAGAUGAUCUUGAGCCUUAAAUAAUGAAAAAGAAAUUUUUUCCUUUAAAAGGCAACCUGCAUAUUUUUAUAAAAUGAAGCAAGUAUCCUGAACACCUAAAUUAGACUAAGCUCUUCAGGCCAUUGGCUGAAGAGAUCAUAUGUACAGUUCCUAGUAAUAUGGUGCUUUAAUCACGACAGGGACCUCAACAUGCUACUACAAUACAAAUAAUGUAGCAGUUAAGACUCAGAUUCUAAGGUCAGAAGGGACCAUUAUGAUCAUCUAGUCUGACCUCCCGCAUGAUGCGGGCCACAAAAGCUGACCCACCCACUCCUGGAAUAAUUCCCUCCCUUGACUCAGCUGUUGAAGUCCCCAAAUCAUGAUUUAGAGACUUCAAAUUGCAGAGAAUCCUCCAGCAAGCAACCCCUGCUCCAUGCUGCCGAGGAAGGCGAAAAACCUCCAGGGCCUCUGCCAAUCUACCCUGGAGGAAAAUUCCUUCCCGACCCCAAAUAUGG
rnacentral:lncRNA from 1 species